rnacentral:pre_miRNA from 1 species
ACCCAGGGCCUGAUCUAAAGCCUGCUGAAGUCAGUGGAAGUCUUUUCAUUGACUUCAGCAGGCUUUGGAUCAGAGCCCUCAGUGU